UGGGGAAUAUUGGACAAUGGGGGCAACCCUGAUCCAGCGACGCCGCGUGUGUGAAGAAGGCCUGCGGGUUGUAAAGCACUUUUAGUGGGGAUGAAAAGCACAUUGCUAAUACCAGUGUGUCUUGACCUAACCCAAAGAAAAAGCACCGGCUAACUCUGUGCCAGCAGCCGCGGUAAUACAGAGGGUGCGAGCGUUAAUCGGAAUUACUGGGCGUAAAGCGUGCGUAGACGGUUAUUUAAGUCGGGUGUGAAAGCCCCGGGCUCAACCUGGGAAUUGCAUUCGAGACUGAAUAGCUAGGGUACGGUAGAGGGAAGUGGAAUUUCCGGUGUAGCGGUGAAAUGCGUAGAUAUCGGAAGGAACAUCAGUGGCGAAAGCGACUUCCUGGACCAGUACCGACGUU
rnacentral:rRNA from 1 species